UGGUAAUGCCGGAUGCUCCGGUUGGAUGCAUGUCCUUCCGGGAAAGAUCCAUCGGUAUGGGAUGGGGUCGCGUCCUAUCAGCUUGAUGGCGGGGUAACGGCCCACCAUGGCUUCGACGGGUAGCCGGCCUGAGAGGGCGACCGGCCACAUUGGGACUGAGAUACGGCCCAGACUCCUACGGGAGGCAGCAGUGGGGAAUAUUGCACAAUGGGCGCAAGCCUGAUGCAGCGACGCCGCGUGCGGGAUGGAGGCCUUCGGGUUGUAAACCGCUUUUGAUCGGGAGCAAGCCCUUCGGGGUGAGUGUACCUUUCGAAUAAGCACCGGCUAACUACGUGCCAGCAGCCGCGGUAAUACGUAGGGUGCAAGCGUUAUCCGGAAUUAUUGGGCGUAAAGGGCUCGUAGGCGGUUCGUCGCGUCCGGUGUGAAAGCCCAUCGCUUAACGGUGGGUCUGCGCCGGGUACGGGCGGGCUGGAGUGCGGUAGGGGAGACUGGAAUUCCCGGUGUAACGGUGGAAUGUGUAGAUAUCGGGAAAGAACACCA
rnacentral:rRNA from 1 species